rnacentral:rRNA from 1 species
GACGAACGCUGGCGGCGUGCUUAACACAUGCAAGUCGAACGGAAAGGCCCCCUUGUGGGGUACUCGAGUGGCGAACGGGUGAGUAACACGUGAGUAACCUACCCUUGACUUUGGGAUAACUUCAGGAAACUGGGGCUAAUACCGGAUAGGAGCUCCUGCUGCAUGGUGGGGGUUGGAAAGUUUCGGCGGUUGGGGAUGGACUCGCGGCUUAUCAGCUUGUUGGUGGGGUAGUGGCUCACCAAGGCUUUGACGGGUAGCCGGCCUGAGAGGGUGACCGGCCACAUUGGGACUGAGAUACGGCCCAGACUCCUACGGGAGGCAGCAGUGGGGAAUAUUGCACAAUGGGCGGAAGCCUGAUGCGGCAACGCCGCGUGCGGGAUGACGGCCUUCGGGUUGUAAACCGCUUUCGCCUGUGACGAAGCGUGAGUGACGGUAAUGGGUAAAGAAGCACCGGCUAACUACGUG